GGAGCGUAGCGCAGUCUGGUAGCGCACCUGAUUUGGGAUCAGGGGGUCGCAGGUUCGAAUCCUGCCGCUCCGACCA
rnacentral:tRNA from 1 species